GUAAAAGCAAGUGUUCACCACAAGGCCAUUGAUCAUCCUGAAAUAGGCAUACACUUAAAAGUUGGAAGUGUGAUAAUCCUACAAGAUGUUUCAAUUUUUUCACCAAUACGUGAAACAUACUAUCUUAACAUAACUCUGAGGAAUAUUGUCAAGGUUUUUGGAAGUGAUAUUGGGGGCCCAACUGAUGACCUAGUACGUCUAUCAAUACCAAUUGAUACCAACAAGCCUUCAACACGCUCCGUUGAUGACAUUCUAUCGAAAUUGAUUCCACCUCUUCACAAACCUCAAGGCACUGGAUGAAAGAAGAACAAUAUAAAUGGCCUAUGUUAAAACUUUCAU